UACGUAGGGUGCAAGCGUUGUCCGGAAUUAUUGGGCGUAAAAGAGCUCGUAGGCGGUCUGUCGCGUCUGCUGUGAAAACUCAGGGCUUAACCCUGAGCUUGCAGUGGGUACGGGCAGACUAGAGGUUCGGAAGAGGCGAGUGGAAUUCCCGGUGUAGCGGUGAAAUUGCGCAGAUGAUCGGGAGGAACACCUAGUGGCGAAGGCAGCACGCUGGGACGUUACUGAUCGCUGAGACGCGAAAGCGUGGGGAGCAAACA
rnacentral:rRNA from 1 species